rnacentral:sRNA from 1 species
UUUGGGAGGCCAAGGCGGGUGGAUCACGAGGUCAGGAGAUAGAGACCAUCCUGGCUAACACGGAAAAACGUGGUCUUCGAGAAAUGCGAGUUCUUGAAAAUUUGAAGAACAUGAUCCAUGAAACAAAUGAACAUACUCUUCCCAAAUGUAGAGACACAAUGCGGGACAGCCUCAGCCAGGUUCUCCAGAGAUUGCAAGCAGCUAAUGACUCAGUCUGUAGACUCCAACAGAGGGAACAGGAACGAAAAAAGAUUCAUAGUGACCACUUAGUAGCUAGUGAGAAACAGCAUAUGCUCCAGUGGGACAACUUCAUGAAGGAGCAACCCAACAAAAGGGCUGAAGUGGAUGAAGAGCACAGAAAAGCCAUGGAGAGGCUUAAAGAACAAUAUGCUGAGAUGGAGAAGGACCUAGCGAAAUUUUCAA